ACUUGGGUGGUUUGCCAAGGCACUCCCAACUCCUAUUGAUUUAGACAUCAAAGUGCUCACAAGUAUUUCCUUUAAAAGCAGAACAGUCCACCAAAAACUAUAUCCUUUCAAUAUACUGUAGUUGCAAAUUGCAAUGAAUAUUAAACUCUAACCACCUUUCAAAAUGUAAACUCUAAUCACUAUUAAUCAGAUUUUCUCUCUCAACCACUUUUUAAAUACGAUGAUUAUGGCUGAUCUUCUUCGUCACUAGAGGUUUUGGUGCCGAAAGUGUGUUUUGCAACUUCAAGGUAGCCACUUUAACUUUAACAACUCAUAAUUUUGCUUUUGAUACUUUAUUUUAUUUUAAUAAAAAAUUUCUUACCAAGAUUUGAAUCUAGAGCAUGAACUUAGUAUAAAAAAUAAAAUUACCAAGCUGUGUCACUAACAAGAGUAACUUUACAUUUUAUUUUAUUUUAUAAACAGGAAAAUAUAAUUAUUCGUAAUAUAAUGUUGAAUUUAAUAAUAUCAAUAUUUUUAGUUAAACUAAAAUUUAAUUACAUAAUGUAACUUUACUUUUAUCCAUUACUAUAUUGGGUGAAAUAUAUAAUAAAUUUGUUAAAUAUAUCAAAACUAAUCAAACUCCGCCACUAAUUAGAGUAACUUUACUUUUAUCCUUUAUUUUUUGUUCUAUGAAGUCAACACUUUCAUUCAACAUUAAACUGAUUAAAUAUCUUGUCUUAAUAAGAAGUAGGUUUGAUUUCAUUGUCAACAAUAGUCGUGUAACCGAUCUAUAAUUAGUAGUUACCAUUUCAAGCGAUUGUAGAACGUAUCACAUGUCUUUUCUUAUCAUUAUUGAGAUAAUAUUCCUUCUCUCUUAUUCUAUUUUUCAUUUAUAGAAAAAGUUAACAUAUUCGACUUAAAAGUAAGAUCAUUAGAGCCAUCAUUAUGACUAUAAAUAAAACUUUAAUAAAUAAAAAUAUUUAUAAAAAAAUUACUUAAUAAAUUAAAAAGUGUCAUAUUCUAAUAUUUUUAAAACUAAUAAAAUUUUAUUUAAAACUAAUAUUAUAUCAAAAAUAAUAUUAAAUUGUCUAAUUUUAUUAUCAAUUAAAAAGACAAUAGUAUACCAAAUUAAUUAUAUUAAUUUAAUAAAUAAUUUUAUAUUAUAAAGUGUCUAAAACACAUUUUUUAAUAAAAUAUUAAAUACUUUUACUAAACAUUAUUUAUAAACUAUAAUAAAGUUCUCAUAUCUCAAUUUCACUUUAAAUUUUUAUAUGAGUUGGACUAAUCCUAAUCCUUAUACCGCUAAUAAAGUUUUGGCUUGAAAUCAUUAGCCCAUAAGAUGUGAAGGGAUGGAUAUGUGGGUUGGUGAAUUCAAUUAUUUUGUUGUUGGGUGUAGCUACCAACAGUCUCAUACUUAAUUCACCACCAUAUAUAUAUCUUUUUAUUUUUUGUGAGGACAAAUUUUUAUUAAAUCUCUUGAAGGAGAAUUUUGCCGUAUGAUAUUACUCAAUGUUGACAACAACAAAAAACUUUUGUUUUUUGUGUAAUUAAAGCUUCAUCCAGCAUAUGGGGUACACAAUCACUCAGUUGCACCACAAAUAUCUUAUCUCUUCAUCUAUUCACACAAGGGCAUGAAAGCUUCGCCUACCCAAUAUCAACCAAAUUCUUAUUAUUUUGUUGAAUUUAACUCUAAGUUGAGAUAUAUUGGCAACAGAUUAAAAAUUUAUACAACAAUAAAUAUAUAAGACAAAAAGAUAUAUUUCAUGGUACAAAAUAUAAAUAAAUUCUAAUUAAUAAGCUUCCAUGACCGAAAUAUAAUGUUCAAUCUAUCAAUAUCGAGAUUUUUAUUAGUUGAACUAAGUGUCUAGCACCAAAUAUAUUUUGUUUAUCAUAUCAUUAAGUAAUUGUAUAAGCAUUAUAUUCUUUAAGGUGUGAUGAUGACCGAUCUCGAUCCCACUUAGAUAAAACUUGUUUACCCCAAAAAUAGAAAUUAAAAUUUUGAGCCACAUAUACACAAUUGUAAGUAUAAUAGAUAGAUACAUGUCAUACAACACAAUAAUCAAAAGAGUGGCCCAAUUAUGGUCACAAUGUCUACUUUCACAAUAACAAGUAAAAAGCAAUGUGAGACUGAGAUAUCACCACACUUUUCUCAAUCUGAAUUUCAACAUUAAGUGAAAUAUACGAAGGAAACAACAGAGUAUUCGUGACUAUGGAGGACAUUGAUGUAGUUCCAUUUAGGAGUAUAAGAGAUAUUCUAACUCGUAUUAUAAAACAUUAACAUUAACAUGAUGAUUAUUAAUUAGUAUACCGGAUUAAUAUAACAAUUUGAAUAAUGAUGUCAUGAUUUUCUACUAUCCCUAACUACUCCCAAUAUAAAUUAAAAUAGUGCUUUGACUGAUGAUGGUGCUCAUACUAAUAAAGAAAGAUGUUAAAUACUUAAAUAUGGUAUUGGAUUAAGGUCAUUUUAUCUCUUCUUGGAUUUAUAAAUAUGAGAACAAAAUAUGAUAUUGUCCAUAUUCUAUAUCCAUAUCGUGUACCUGACUCAGCUUGCAUGCUCAAACAUAAUAAUUGCUGUUUCUCAUUUGAAUUAUGUCAACCAUGAACUUGAAGCCUUGAAACAUGUAACCCCACUCCUCAUUGUAACUAUGUGUUAUUGGGAAGAAAAAAAAUUAUAUAUCCU